AUUAUAUAAGAAAACAUAUUUCACUUAAGUAAAAAUUUCACAAUGAACUCACAAGUGUAGGUAGUGUAUGACGUGGGGGGCAAAUCUCUGGCUAACACCACAAGGGUCUCUGGCCCAAUGAGUGGAGUCUGAUGGUAAUUCUUGCUACAAGU